rnacentral:rRNA from 1 species
GUGCCAGCAGCCGCGGUAAGACGAACCGUGCGAACGUUAUUCGGAAUCACUGGGCUUAAAGGGCGCGUAGGCGGGCUCGCUAGUCAGGGGUGAAAGCCUCCAGCUCAACUGGAGAAGUGCCUUUGAUACUGCGAGUCUCGAGGGAGGUAGGGGCGUGCGGAACUUCCGGUGGAGCGGUGAAAUGCGUAGAUAUCGGAAGGAACACCGGUGGCGAAAGCGGCGCGCUGGACCUCUUCUGACGCUGAGGCGCGAAAGCCAGGGGAGCAAACGGGAUUAGAAACCCCAGUAGUCC